rnacentral:rRNA from 1 species
UGGGGAAUAUUGCACAAUGGGCGAAAGCCUGAUGCAGCGACGCCGCGUGAGGGAUGACGGCCUUCGGGUUGUAAACCUCUUUCAGCAGGGAAGAAGCCACAAGUGACGGUACCUGCAGAAGAAGCGCCGGCUAACUACGUGCCAGCAGCCGCGGUAAUACGUAGGGCGCAAGCGUUGUCCGGAAUUAUUGGGCGUAAAGAGCUCGUAGGCGGUUUGUCGCGUCUGCUGUGAAAGCCCGGGGCUUAACCCCGGGUGUGCAGUGGGUACGGGCAGACUAGAGUGCAGGAGGGGAGACUGGAAUUCCUGGUGUAGCGGUGGAAUGCGCAGAUAUCAGGAGGAACACCGAUGGCGAAGGCAGGUCUCUGGGCUGUUACUGACGCUGAGGAGCGAAAGCAUGGGGAGCGAACA